ACCAGUACUCAUCAGGUGUGUGGGCUACAUUCCAUCCAGGCUACCAGUACUCAUCAGGUGUGUCUGCUACAUUCCAUCCAGGCUACCAGUACUCAUCAGGUGUGUGGGCUACAUUCCAUCCAGGCUACCAGUACUCAUCAGGUGUGUCUGCUACAUUCCAUCCAGGCUACCAGUACUCAUCAGGUGUGUCUGCUACAUUCCAUCCAGGCUACCAGUACUCAUCAGGUGUGUCUGCUACAUUCCAUCCAGGCUACCAGUACUCAUCAGGUGUGUAGGCUACAUUCCAUCCAGGCUACCAGUACUCAUCAGGUGUGUCUGCUACAUUCCAUCCAGGCUACCAGUACUCAUCAGGUGUGUAGGCUACAUUCCAUCCAGGCUACCAGUACUCAUCAGGUGUGUAGGCUACAUUCCAUCCAGGCUACCAGUACUCAUCAGGUGUGUAGGCUACAUUCCAUCCAGGCUACCAGUACUCAUCAGGUGUGUGGGCUACAUUCCAUCCAGGCUACCAGUACUCAUCAGGUGUGUCUGCUACAUUCCAUCCAGGCUACCAGUACUCAUCAGGUGUGUAGGCUACAUUCCAUCCAGGCUACCAGUACUCAUCAGGUGUGUAGGCUACAUUCCAUCCAGGCUACCAGUACUCAUCAGGUGUGUAGGCUACAUUCCAUCCAGGCUACCAGUACUCAUCAGGUGUGUAGGCUACAUUCCAUCCAGGCUACCAGUACUCAUCAGGUGUGUCUGCUACAUUCCAUCCAGGCUACCAGUACUCAUCAGGUGUGUCGGCUACAUUCCAUCCAGGCUACCAGUACUCAUCAGGUGUGUAGGCUACAUUCCAUCCAGGCUACCAGUACUCAUCAGGUGUGUAGGCUACAUUCCA